CAGUUUUAUUAUCAACCAAUGAGAGCAACGUAUAUUCGCAGCAUACAGAAGGAUAAUCCCACAGCAUGCAGUAUACAAAUUUUUCAAUUCAGAGUAACAUGCGAGAUCAAACACAAGUAUCAGGAGUCUGCGCCAAGAUGUGAGAGAGAAUAGUAUCAGAUCCAGAAGUGAGACAAUUAUUAAUUGAUUCUAUGACUUUUGGAAAUGCUAAUUUGAAGUGCAAAACUGGUGAGAAGUUAUUGACAGGAGAGGGAGUGACCCUACAGUAGCUGCUUGGAAGGUGCGCACAAGCACCAGCAAGGAUGAUGUAUGUCUUCUCCAUGGCCAUGUAAGUGGAGCCUUCUUCCCUGUGAGCCUUCCCAGCUUAUAUACUCAGUCAACUUCUACUUCCUGAGACACCCUAAUUACAAGCAAUUAGGGUGGAAUUACACACGAAUGGCCCGGAAAAGUGGGUGGAAGCAUAGAUGAAGGUCAACUUCUUAUUCCAUUUUCUAUAAGGCAAUGUCAGCAGACAGAACCAGAUGGUGAUGGACCUUAUAAACAGGCACUAAUGAUAUCAACAAGAUGUUAGCUGCUUGACUUGGAGAGCACAUUCUAUAACUGUAUGUAUGUAUGUAUGUUCAUGUUGCUGUACAUGGAAUGUGUAAAUAUGAAUGAAGAGACUAGAAGUCUCCAUCAACGUCGUCAAUUCUUCUCCACCUUAUUUACUCACUGUCUCUUGAUGAACAUGAAGCUCACUGAUUUGGUUAGAUAAGCUGUCCAGAAAACCUACAGGAAACCUCUGUCUCCACCUCUCCAACACAGGAUUGCAGGCACAUGCUGCCCAAACCAGCAUUUUACAUAGGUGCUUGGGAUCCAAAUAUAAGCCUUUGUAUUUGUGUACAAAUACAUUACUCACUUAGAUAUUUUUCCUAAUCA